GGACAGCUCUAUAUCUGCAGCUCCAGGAAGCUGCCUACUCUGAAGCCAUGGAUCAAUCUGGCUGACUUCAGCACAUCUAAGCGCAGCAAAGAAAUUCACUUGACACACCAUCUCUCCCUCCUUCCUCACAAAACUGCAAGUGACGCCUGGAGAUAUGAGAAAGGCUGCAGCGGGGAAGUUCAUUUUGUGUCCUAAGCAGACCUCAGCUGUGUCUAAAGGAUGAGAGUUGGAAAAACACCAGGGACUCCUGUGGCUACCUGCUGUUUCCGUAGAAACACAGCCUGCAUGGCAGUUCUACCUCAGCACAGCUGGAGAUUGUAUGUCCCUCCUGCCGUCGUGGGAAAAUCACCCCUCCCCAUAAGCUCCGACCUGUAAAUGGGUCCCUGGCGAUGCCUG